UACGAAGGGGGCUAGCGUUGCUCGGAAUCACUGGGCGUAAAGCGCACGUAGGCGGCUUUCUAAGUCAGGGGUGAAAUCCUGGAGCUCAACUCCAGAACUGCCUUUGAUACUGGAGAGCUUGGGUCCGGGAGAGGUGAGUGGAACUCCGAGUGUAGAGGUGAAAUUCGUAGAUAUUCGGAAGAACACCAGUGGCGAAGGCGGCUCACUGGCCCGGUACUGACGCUGAUGUGCGAAAGCGUGGGGAGCAAACAGG
rnacentral:rRNA from 1 species